AAACCAGCACCUCAAGUGGUCAGGAGGUUUAUUGGGCCUAAAGCAUCCGUAGCCUGAUCUAUAAGUUUGCGGUUAAAUCCACAUGCUCAACAUUUGGGCUGCCGGAAAAACUGUAGAUCUAGGGAGUGGGAGAGGUAGACGGUACUCGGUAGGAAGGGGUAAAAUCCUUUGAUCUAGUGAUGACCACCAGUGGCGAAGGCGGUCUACCAGAACACGUUCGACGGUGAGGGAUGAAAGCUGGGGGAGCAAACCGGAUUAGAUACCCGAGUAGUCC
rnacentral:rRNA from 1 species